rnacentral:lncRNA from 1 species
NUGUAGCUAAGGGUUUGAAAAGAAUGAAAGAAAUGUAAUAAAUAUGGUUGUAUUUGGAAUAAUGUAAAUGUAAAGUGAAUGAGAUGAAUGUUUGUAAUAGAAUAGUUAUUUAUGUUUAUGAUGCAUUCCUUAUACAAUCUGUGUAUGAAUUUUAUUUCUGUUUAGAAUGUUUUGAAUUGUACUGAUUGUAAUGCCUUGGGCGGACAGAGAAAACUCUGUCCGUUCAG